AGAGUUUGAUCCUGGCUCAGGAUGAACGCUAGCGGCAGGCCUAAUACAUGCAAGUCGAGGGGCAGCGCGGUGUAGCAAUACACUGGCGGCGACCGGCAAACGGGUGCGGAACACGUACGCAACCUUCCUUUCAGCGGGGAAUAGCCCAGAGAAAUUUGGAUUAAUACCCCGUAAGAUGGUGGUGAGGCAUCUCACAGCCAUAAAAGCUCCGGCACUGAGAGAUGGGCGUGCGUCUGAUUAGGUAGUUGGUGAGGUAACGGCUCACCAAGCCGACGAUCAGUAACUGGCGUGAGAGCGCGACCAGUCACACGGGCACUGAGACACGGGCCCGACUCCUACGGGAGGCAGCAGUAAGGAAUAUUGGUCAAUGGACGCAAGUCUGAACCAGCCAUGCCGCGUGGAGGAUGAAGGUCCUCUGGAUUGUAAACUUCUUUUAUCUGGGAAGAAAUCACUUUUUUCUAAAGGUGUUGACGGUACCAGAUGAAUAAGCACCGGCUAACUCCGUGCCAGCAGCCGCGGUAAUUC
rnacentral:rRNA from 1 species